AAAAAAAAAUUCUAAAAAAACUAUUAAUUUUUGUAAAAACUAAAUGAACAAAAAAUACUUAACCAACCAAACAAUUAUUUCCUAAAAUUUUAUUCAGAAAACCAAACACCGCUAAGGAUGUCAAUGGGUAUGGAUACCCGAAAUUUUAUCUGAACCCGAACCCGAAACCCGAAUGAAACGGAUAUAUCCGAUGCUAAAUGAAUAUGAAUUUGGAUAUGAAUAUCAAAAAUAGAAAUCUGACGGAUAUAGAUUCGUAUAUGGAUUUUGACAGUAUCCGACCCGAACCCGAACCCGACCCGAACCCGAAUUUAUUUUGUAUUAUAUAAUAUAUAUAUAUAUAUAUAUAUAUAUAUAAAAUUAAAUUUGUAUUUUAAAAAUUUAGAUUUAAUAUAAUAUAUUUUGAAAUAUUAAAAAAAGAAAUAAUUGUUUCAGGUUUAAAUUUUUAGAUUCGGGUUCGGAUUUUUUGUCGGAUUCGGAUUUGGAUAUGGAUUUUUAAAAUCCGUCGGGUUCGGGUCUCGGGUUUAGAGUCGGAUUCGAAUUUAGAUUUUUAAAAAUUCGCUCCGAAUCCGACCCGUUGACAUUUCUAAAUA
rnacentral:lncRNA from 1 species